rnacentral:misc_RNA from 1 species
AAGUCGUAACAAGGUAUCCGUAGGUGAACCUGCGGAUGGAUCAUUACGGAGUAGGAUAGAACACCUGUCGACAUCCUUUCUGUAACCACUGCUGUGUAACGCGUGUUUUGUGGUGGUGUUGCGUGGCGCGGACGUGUGCGCGUGCGGCGGCCGGUCGAAAGACUGCUGCUGCUGCGCGCCGCCCCCGCGCGGCAUCAUCAUCAUCAUCAUCAUCAAACCAUUUAUACCUCUUCUAUAAUACACAGUUGUCCUGUCUGAAUGCAACCAUAAUUCAAACAACACAAAACAACUGCUAGCAACGGAUCACUCGGCUCUC